rnacentral:ncRNA from 1 species
GCGGUACCGGUUCCCGCCCCGCGGGGGCGACCCGGCGACC